UACGGAGGGUGCAAGCGUUAUCCGGAUUUAUUGGGUCUAAAGGGUCCGUAGGCUGAUGUGUAAGUCAGUGGUGAAAUCUCACAGCUUAACUGUGAAACUGCCAUUGAUACUGCAUGUCUUGAGUGUUGUUGAAGUAGCUGGAAUAAGUAGUGUAGCGGUGAAAUGCAUAGAUAUUACUUAGAACACCAAUUGCGAAGGCAGGUUACUAAGCAACAACUGACGCUGAUGGACGAAAGCGUGGGGAGCGAACAGG
rnacentral:rRNA from 1 species